rnacentral:rRNA from 1 species
UACGGGAGGCAGCAGUGAGGAAUAUUGGUCAAUGGGCGCAAGCCUGAACCAGCCAUNCCGCGUGAAGGAAUAAGGCCCUAUGGGUCGUAAACUUNUUUUGUGGUGGAGCAAUAAGGUGUACGCGUACACCGAUGAGAGUACAUCACGAAUAAGCAUCGGCUAACUCCGUGCCAGCAGCCGCGGUAAU